rnacentral:rRNA from 1 species
UACGGAGGGUGCAAACGUUGCUCGGAAUUAUUGGGCGUAAAGCGCACGUAGGCGGCCGACUAAGUCGGGUGUGAAAGCCCAGGGCUCAACCCUGGAAGUGCACUCGAAACUGAUCGGCUUGAAUAUGGAAGAGGGUCGCGGAAUUCCCGGUGUAGAGGUGAAAUUCGUAGAUAUUCGCAAGAACACCAGUGGCGAAGGCGGCUCACUGGCCCGGUACUGACACUGAGGUGCGAAAGCGUGGGGAGCAAACAGG